UACGUAGGGGGCAAGCGUUGUCCGGAUUUAUUGGGCGUAAAGAGCUCGUAGGCGGCUCAGUAAGUCGGGUGUGAAAGCCCCGAGCUCAACUCGGGGAGGCCACCCGAUACUGCUGUGGCUAGAGUCCGGUAGGGGAGCGUGGAAUUCCCGGUGUAGCGGUGAAAUGCGCAGAUAUCAGGAGGAACACCAGCGGCGAAAGGCGGCGCUCUGGGCCGGAACUGACGCUGAGGAGCGAAAGCGUGGGGAGCGAACAGG
rnacentral:rRNA from 1 species